rnacentral:rRNA from 1 species
GAUGGAAAACAGGUUAAUAUUCCUGUACCACCUAAUUGUUGUUUGAGAGAAGGGGGGACGCAGGAGGGCAGGUCAUCCGUCUGUUGGAAUAGGCGGUUCAAGCCGGUAGGCUGAUUGAGCAGGCAAAUCCGUUCGAUCUUUAAAGCCGAGAAGUGAUGAGGAGGGGGUAACCCCGUAAACUGACUGCACCCAUGCUGCCAAGAAAAGCCUCUAUUGAGACAAUAGGUGAUCGUACCGUAAACCAACACAGGUAGGCAGGGAGAGUAUCCCGAGGCGCUUGAGAGAACUCUGGUUAAGGAACUCGGCAAAAUUGCACCGUAACUUCGGGAGAAGGUGUGCCCCCAUUAGGUGAUUGUUUUUUCAUUCAUGAGCCGAAGGGGGUUGCAGUGAAAUGGGGG